UUUGCAAACUGGAGUGAUCAUUGCUAUCAGCUGGAGGGCUGUUAAAAUACUGGUUGACUCACUAUUUCUGUUUCACUGUCUCGGGUGCAGGUCCAAGAAUUUGCAUUUCUAAUGGGUUCCAGGUGAUGCUGUUGCUAAUGAUUCUGGUUUGGGGGCCAUGCUUUAAGAACCACUGAUCUAAAACCUAAGGCAGGGUUUCUUUAAGAUGGUUUUAAAAGGACUGCCUUGCUCUUAAAAGGACUGCCUUAUUCGGUAACACCCGGCAUUUGGUAAGAAGGCAGAUCCUUGAUUCCAGCCCCAACUCUGAGGAAGCAGAUUCUCUGCAUUUCGGGAACUACAGAUUCCGUCUCAGAGAUUUCCUCGUGGCAGUGAUUCCUCUUCACCCCUUUGAAUUCAGAAGGGUGGCAUAGAUGUCUUCAAAAUAAUUUUCUUCUAACCAAAACUAGAAGAUCAAGUGAAGUUUUCAUUGUCUCCAACUUCAUUUUUGCAUGUCCCAAAUAUAAGCAUUAUGCUGUGACUGGACAAAUUCCAAGCUAAAUACUUUAUAUCUGAAUUCCAGAAGUAACUCCCAAGGAAAUUUGUUUUAAAUAGAAUGGCGAUACCAAGUCUGCUGCUACUUUUUAAGCUAUAAAAUCUACAUUUCCUGAAGGUUAUUUUUCCCUUUCCAUCAGUUCUAAUCCCACAGAACUAUCUUUAGGCAGAAUCAAAUGAGUUUCCUGGUCUUUAAUGUCAAACAGUUCAAGUUUGCAAAUAUUGUCAGCUUACACGUGAAUCAACACAGGAUACAUGAGAAGACAAAGCUGCUUGCACUGUCAGUGAGCUUCCAAACACAUCAUUAACCCAGUGGUAACUCGUGAGGCCCCACUGGAGCUGUCUAAGGAAGCUGCAAAAGAAGGAGAAGCCAAUAGGGAAGGUAUCUAUCCCAAGUUUAAAAUCUUAACUGGGAAUCAUGUCAUAGAAUUUAAGGAGCUAGUGGGGCCCAGUACCCUAUCAAAUACAAAGGGAUAGACCUGUAAAUAAGAACUCUUGGAGUCUUCUCCCAAGAAUUUGUGAUGAUCUGUUAGUAAACUCUAUUUAAAUUAUGCUUAAAGGCUUAAGCGUUAGUUGCUCAAUCCUGUUCGACUCUUUGCCAUACCCACAAGGCUCCUCUGUCCAUGGAAUUCUCCAGGCAAGAACACUAGAAUGGUAGCUAUUUCCUUCUCCAUGGGAUCCUCCCAACCCAAGGAUUGAACCCAGGACUCCUGCUUUGCAGGCAGAUUCUUUACCAUCUGAACCACCAGUGAAGCCCUGAAGACUUGAAAAAAAGUGGGACUUUUUUUGUGUAUCAGGCAGCAAAGCCAUUUGUGAAGUGUUUAAUUAAACUUACUCUGACUAAAAAUGUAGGCUUAAAGAUUUGUUGAUUUUGUGACAAAUUAUAGAUGCUAAUUGUCUUGACUGGUUUUAUUUUGUAUUUUCCAGACAACAGGAUCAUAUAUGCAUAACUGUGGUUGGGGGAACAGGAGAAAAAAUACAAUUUUUGAGAAGAAACAUGUAUUUAAGUUAGCCAAAUGUUAUAAAACCAUAUAUAUAGGAACCAUAUAUAUUUUUCCUGAGAGAAAAAUUUGGAAGACAUAGAAAAGGAAAAAAAUGAAGUUCCUCUCUCUCAGAAUUUGCAUCUAAAAGAAAUGGAUGAUAGGUUUUUUUUUUCUUUCACAAACUUUGAAAUCUAGCUUCCUACUCAGUAAUCCUAACAUUUAGAUGCUUGUAAAUGAUACCAUUCCCUUAAAUACUAUACUUCUUUUCUGGAAGGCUUUAUAACUUUUAAUAAGAGGAGAAACCAUUUCUCUCCACCUAUUUGAUGUAGCAGAUUAUUUAUGGCGCCAACAUGUUGACACACUAUAAACUGUAAAAAAUGAGACCUAAUAAGGUUAAUUGUCAUCUGAACCUUCCUCUGUAGGCUGCAAUCUGUAGGCUUUGAUUGUUUCUCUGGGGGAAACUCUGCCCAGAUGGUGAAAUCUUCAAGGCCCUGACCCACAAGAGGCCUGCAGAGAUGGAGAACAAGGUGCUUCUCCACAGACUAAUUAAUUUACUAGUAUAGCACCUGUUCCAGAAUAGAUAGGGCUGGAAGGGAAGGCAGUCCCUGGGCACAGUGGCAAGCUCGCGAGUAAAUGGAUUUCAGCUGAUUAUAUUAAGCUGAUGCUUUGAUCAUCUAAAGGCGUUAAAAUGGAAAUAUGUUUUUUUCUGGCUGUUGGCCUCUGUGAGUGUGGCUUAUAUUAUUAUUAUUAUUAUUAUAAAUGUUGGGAAUAGAAAAGGCUGUUUUAGAUUUCAGCACGUUCCAUUUGGAAAGUACGCCAUAUAUUUGUCUAUUUCUUUUUCCAGUUUUAGAAAUGUGUGUUGUCAUAAAGCUGUAUCUUUUAAACAAUUCUGCUUUCUUGUUUCCAUUUUAUUCCAGCCAAAUUACUAGCUGGAAAUCAAACACCAGCACAGAUUCCUUUUAGCUAGAACAUUUUAUUAUGUACUCACACCUUUAAUUCAAUGUGUGUAAUUAGGCUUUAAUCAGCUGAACACUAUUUGUGAAAAAAUAUCAGACACUUCUUUAAAGAAAAUUCUGGUAAAGUCAUGCUAUUAAGCUUUGGUGACUAUUUACUGGCACAAAUAAAUCCUUGAGUAAACAA